rnacentral:rRNA from 1 species
AAAUCAGUUAUCGUUUAUUUGAUAGUACCUUACUACUUGGAUACCUGUGGUAAUUCUAGAGCUAAUACAUGCUAAAAACCCCGACUUCGGAAGGGGUGUAUUUAUUAGAUAAAAAACCAAUGCCCUUCGGGGCUCCUUGGUGAUUCAUAAUAACUUCUCAGAUCGCAUGGCCUUGCGCCGGCGACGGUUCAUUCAAAUUUCUGCCCUAUCAACUUUCGAUGGUAAGGUAUUGGCUUACCAUGGUUUCUACGGGUAACGGGGAAUUAGGGUUCGAUUCCGGAGAGUUAGCCUGAGAAACGGCUAACACAUCCAAGGAAGGCAGCAGGCGCGCAAAUUACCCAAUCCUGAUACAGGGAGGUAGUGACAAUAAAUACUGAUACAGGGCUCUUUUGGGUCUUGUAAUCGGAAUGAGUACAAUUUAAACCUCUUAACGAGGAACAAUUGGAGGGCAAGUCUGGUGCCAGCAGCCGCGGUAAUUCCAGCUCCAAUAGCGUAUAUUAAAGUUGUUGCAGUUAAAAAGCUCGUAGUUGAACCUUUGGCCUGGCUGGUAGGUCCGCCUCACCGCGUGCACUUGUCCGGCCGGGCCUUUUCUUCUGGAGAACCGCAUGCCCUUCACUGGGUGUGUUGGGGACCAGGACUUUUACUUUGAAAAAAUUAGAGUGUUCAAAGCAGGCCUUUGCUCGAAUAUUACAGCAUGGAAUAAUAAAAUAGGACGUGCGGUUCUAUUUUGUUGGUUUCUAGGACCGCCGUAAUGAUUAAUAGGGACAGUCGGGGGCAUCAGUAUUCAAUUGUCAGAGGUGAAAUUCUUGGAUUUAUUGAAGACUAACUACUGCGAAAGCAUUUGCCAAGGAUG